UGAGUAACGCGUGGGUAACCUGCCUUAUACAGGGGGAUAACAGUCAGAAAUGGCUGCUAAUACCGCAUAAGCGCACAGAGCUGCAUGGCUCAGUGUGAAAAACUCCGGUGGUAUAAGAUGGACCCGCGUUGGAUUAGCUAGUUGGUGAGGUAACGGCCUACCAAGGCGACGAUCCAUAGCCGGCCUGAGAGGGUGAACGGCCACAUUGGGACUGAGACACGGCCCAGACUCCUACGGGAGGCAGCAUG
rnacentral:rRNA from 1 species